GGGGAAUAUUGCGCAAUGGGGGAAACCCUGACGCAGCGACGCCGUGUGAGGGAAGAAGGCUUUCGGGUCGUAAACCUCUGUCGGGAAGGAAGAACCCCCCAGGUCCGAAUAGGGCCUGGGGCUGACGGUACUUCCAAAGGAAGCACCGGCUAACUCCGUGCCAGCAGCCGCGGUAAUACGGAGGGUGCAAGCGUUAAUCGGAAUCACUGGGCGUAAAGCGCGCGUAGGCGGCUUUUUAAGUCGGACGUGAAAGCCCUCGGCUCAACCGGGGAAUUGCGUUCGAAACUGGGAGGCUAGAGUAUGGGAGAGGUAGGUGGAAUUCUCGGUGUAGGGGUAAAAUCCGUAGAGAUCGAGAGGAAUACUCAUUGCGAAGGCGACCUGCUGGAACAUUACUGACGCUGAGGUGCGAAAGCGUGGGGAGCAAACA
rnacentral:rRNA from 1 species